GAAGCCUUCUCUUCUGCCCCUGCCUAGAGGGUUGGGGAGCACAUGGGCCCCUAGAGAGGGAGGGACACCUCGCUGGUACAGGGAUGUGAGUGCAGACCCUGCCAUCUCAUCCUACAGGUGUGGACUUCCUGGUGCCCGUGAUGGGCUAUAUCUGCCGCAUCUGCCACAAGUUCUAUCACAGCAACUCAGGGGCACAGCUCUCCCACUGCAAGUCCCUGGGCCACUUUGAGAACCUGCAGAAAUACAAGGCGGCCAAGAACCCCAGCCCCACCACCCGACCUGUGAGCCGCCGGUGCGCAAUCAACGCCCGGAACGCUUUGACAGCCCUGUUCACCUCCA
rnacentral:sRNA from 1 species